CCUGGCGUAACACAAAUUGGGAGCUCUCCGGAAUAUUUUUCUCACGUGCGUGGCUUCAUUCAUAUAUUUUUUUCUUUUUCUCGGCAACGUCAACCGCUGUGCACUCCAGUUAUCGUCGGAAACAAUCCCGGGAGGGAGUUUGUUAAAACUCCUCUAAGGGGCACGUGAGAACGGCUGCACUCAUUGGAGGGCAGUGAGCCUCAAGCCUGGCACGCUUCAGAAGCGACAGGUGUAGGACAGUAGUAUUAACGACAGGUCUGGAGUGCACGAUGGUCCAUGCUGGGGUUUCCUGGGUGGAAACCUUUUUGGGAAAGGAGGUGUGACGCCCCUCUGCUCCCCCCUACGGGCCGUCUGCAGUUUUCCGUGGUGGCCACACGGGCAGGUUGCCGGCUUGCAGUGGGGAGACUUAAUUAAGGGAGAUUGGCCUCACCUGGCACUGGUGUAGGCCUAUAUAUAUAUAUAUCAUCGCCAUCCCUUGUCUCUCUCUCUCUCUCUCUCCCAUCGUUCAUUUGACA